rnacentral:rRNA from 1 species
UACGGGAGGCAGCAGUGAGGAAUAUUGGACAAUGGGAGCAAUCCUGAUCCAGCCAUGCCGCGUGCAGGAAGACUGCCCUAUGGGUUGUAAACUGCUUUUACAGAGGAAGAAUCGCCAUUACGUGUANUGGUUUGACGGUACUCUGGGAAUAAGGAUCGGCUAACUCCGUGCCAGCAGCCGCGGUAAUACGGAGGAUCCGAGCGUUAUCCGGAAUCAUUGGGUUUAAAGGGUCCGUAGGCGGGCAGUUAAGUCAGUGGUGAAAGUCUGUCGCUUAACGAUAGAAUUGCCAUUGAAACUGAUUGUCUUGAGUUAUUAUGAAGUGGUUAGAAUGAGUAGUGUAGCGGUGAAAUGCAUAGAUAUUACUCAGAACACCGAUUGCGAAGGCAGAUCACUAAUAAUAUACUGACGCUGAUGGACGAAAGCGUAGGUAGCGAACAGGAUUAGAUACCCUGGUAGUCUACGCCGUAAACGAUGGUCACUAGCUGUUCGGACUAAUUGCGGUCUGAGUGGUUAAGCGAAAGUGAUAAGUGACCCACCUGGGGAGUACGUUCGCAAGAAUGAAACUCAAAGGAAUUGACGGGGGCCCGCACAAGCGGUGGAGCAUGUGGUUUAAUUCGAUGAUACGCGAGGAACCUUACCAGGGCUUAAAUGUAGUCUGACAGUCCCCGAAAGGGGAUUUUCUUCGGACAGAUUACAAGGUGCUGCAUGGUUGUCGUCAGCUCGUGCCGUGAGGUGUCAGGUUAAGUCCUAUAACGAGCGCAACCCCUGUGGUUAGUUGCCAGCGAGUAAUGUCGGGAACUCUAGCCAGACUGCCGGUGCAAACCGCGAGGAAGGUGGGGAUGACGUCAAAUCAUCACGGCCCUUACGUCCUGGGCCACACACGUGCUACAAUGGUAGGGACAGAGAGCAGCCACUUCGCGAGAAGGAGCGAAUCUACAAACCCUAUCACAGUUCGGAUCGCAGUCUGCAACUCGACUGCGUGAAGCUGGAAUCGCUAGUAAUCGCAUAUCAGCCAUGAUGCGGUGAAUACGUUCCCGGGCCUUGUACACACCGCCCGUCAAGCCAUGAAAGCCGGGGGUAC